rnacentral:rRNA from 1 species
UAUCGUUUAUUUGAUAGUACCUUACUACUUGGAUAACCGUGGUAAUUCUAGAGCUAAUACAUGCUAAAAACCCCAACUUCGGGAGGGGUGUAUUUAUUAGAUAAAAAACCAAUGCCCUUCGGGGCUCCUUGGUGAUUCAUGAUAACUUCUCAGAUCGCAUAGCCUUGUGCUGGCGACGGUUCAUUCAAAUUUCUGCCCUAUCAACUUUCGAUGGUAAGGUAUUGGCUUACCAUGGUUUCAACGGGUAACGGGGAAUUAGGGUUCGAUUCCGGAGAGGGAGCCUGAGAAACGGCUACCACA